GGAGAGGUGGGUGAGUGGCUGAAACCAACGGUUUGCUAAACCGUCGUUCCGCAACCGCGGAACCGGGGGUUCGAAUCCCCCCCUCUCCG
rnacentral:tRNA from 1 species